rnacentral:rRNA from 1 species
ACCCGUCUUUGAACACGGACCAAGGAGUUUAGCAUAUGCGCGAGUCAUUGGGUGGUAAACCUAAAGGCGUAAUGAAAGUAAAGAUCGCUUCUAGCGGUUGAUAUGGGAUCCGCAUAGUUUCGGCUGUGCGGCGCACCAUAGCCCCGUCCCCGUUGCUUGCAAUAGGGCGGAGGUAGAGCGCAUACGCUGAGACCCGAAAGAUGGUGAACUAUGCCUGAGCAGGAUGAACCCAGAGGAAACUCUGGUGGACUUCCGGAAGCGGUCUGACGUGC